CCUACGGGAGGCAGCAGUGAGGAAUAUUGGUCAAUGGGCGCGAGCCUGAACCAGCCAAGUAGCGUGAAGGAUGACUGCCCUACGGGUUGUAAACUUCUUUUAUAAAGGAAUAAAGUGAGGCACGUGUGCCUUUUGGUCUGUACUUUAUGAAUAAGGAUCGGCUAACUCCGUGCAAGCAGCCGCGGUAAUACGGAGGAUCCGAGCGUUAUCCGGAUUUAUUGGGUUUAAAGGGAGCGGAGGCCGGGCUUUAAGCGUGCCGUGAAAUUGUGUGGCUCAACCAUGGGAGUGCGGCGCGAACUGGAGACCUGGAGUGCGCGGAAGGCAGGCGGAAUUCGUGGUGUAGCGGUGAAAUGCGUAGAUAUCACGAAGAACCCCGAUUGCGAAGGCAGCUUGCCGCAGCGUUACUGACGCUGAAGCUCGAAAGCGCGGGUAUCGAACAGGAUUAGAUACCCCAGUAGUC
rnacentral:rRNA from 1 species